GACGAACGCUGGCGGCGUGCUUAACACAUGCAAGUCUGGGGGCGGGGCGACCCGUCGCCGGCGAACGGGUGCGGAACACGUGAGCGACCUGCCCUGUGUGUGGGGGAUAGCCGGCCCAACGGCCGGGUAAUACCGCAUACGUCCCGCGCUUGGAGGCGCUGGGAGAAAGCCCGGAAGGGCGCACGAGGAGGGGCGCGCGGCCGAUCAGCUAGUUGGGGGGGUAACGGCUCACCAAGGCGACGAUGGGUAGCUGGGCGGAGAGGACGGCCCGCCACGUGGGGAGUGAGGCACGGCCCAGACGCCGACGGGAGGCAGCGGGGGGGAAGGGUGGAAAAUGGGCGCAAGCCUGAUCCAGCCAUGCCGCGUGCAGGAAGAAGGCCUUCGGGUGGUAAACUGCGUUGGUACGGAACGAAACGGCGCUGGGUAAUACCCGGGGCUAAUGACGGUACCGGAAGAAUAAGCACCGGCUAACUA
rnacentral:rRNA from 1 species